UUGGCCAGCUUACAAAGAAGCAGGUUUUGGCAGAAUAUUGAUGCUUACUCAUGUAACUUGUUGCUCGUAAUUUCUGUAUACGCACCUAUGACUAGUAUUCAGCGUGUGGUAUUCAUAUAACACAUGCACGGUUUGUAUGCCACAGGGAGGCUGUCAAAAAAUGUUUUUAAUCUGUAUUUUGAUAAAGGAUCUUCUAUGGAAGCUAUUGUCGCAACACUCUGCCCUUUGAAAAUUGUUUUGGAUAGGAUUGUUUUGACUUCAACAGGGGUGCUCCUAGGUUGCUGGUUGCAAAGACUUGAUGUUGAAGGUGGGAAUGACAACAUUGGUGAGUGUCUCCAAGUUUCUCUCUAACGACAUCAUGUAGGUAUUUCAACUUUUGCUAAUAUAAUGUAAUUACUCUUUCAAUACUAUGUAUAUUUAUCAUGUUGACAUAUAUUAUGGUUCCACAUGAAUGGCAUACUUACUAUAGGAUUAGUAUUAUGAC